CCACGUAGAGUAUGCCGCCCUCACCCGACGCUCCUUUCAAGCCAUCCGGCCAAAUGGAUACCGGGCAUAUAUAGGAAACCCGUUAAGAACUGUUGAUCCUAAUUUUACGUUUCUUCUUUCUUCUUAUAUAUAAUCAUCCAUCCGCCCCAUUGCGUCGUUUCCCAUCUCAUCUUGGCCAUCCCCGGCCUGCGUCAUUUCCCAUCUCAUCUUGGCCAUCCCUCGAGGAACUGGCAUGCGGCCGGCCGCCGGUCGACCACAUCAUUGGGCAAUUUUGUUGGAAGAUGAACGUGCGGCAACGACGACAAUUUUGCUGGUUUAGUCAGAUUCAAUAGCGUAGCUGUUGAUCAUUAGGCCCGGCGAUAUUUUGAUGCGGCGACUAGAAGGCAGAAGCAUCCAUCGAUGGUGAAAUCCAUACAUGGUUUGAGGUGAAACAACCAAUACAACAAGCAAGUUUGAGGCUACAAACAAUUCCCCCAUCCAAAAAAUGGACGGACUCAAGAACCAAAAAUAGAUCCUGCAAAUCCAAUGCUAUACGUGCCAUCCAUUGCCUGUAUUUGCAUCUAUUUCAGA